UACGGGGGGAGCAAGCGUUGUUCGGAUUUACUGGGCGUAAAGGGCGCGUAGGCGGCCACUGCAAGUCGGUUGUGAAAUCUCCGGGCUUAACCCGGAAAGGUCAAUCGAUACUGCAGGGCUAGAGUGCGGAAGGGGCAACUGGAAUUCUCGGUGUAGCGGUGAAAUGCGUAGAUAUCGAGAGGAACACCUGCGGCGAAGGCGGGUUGCUGGGCUGACACUGACGCUGAAGCGCGAAAGCUAGGGGAGCGAACGGG
rnacentral:rRNA from 1 species